rnacentral:rRNA from 1 species
AAACCAACUGGGAUUACCUUAGUAACGGCGAGUGAAGCGGUAAAAGUUCAAAUUUGAAAUCUGGUACUUUCAGUGCCCGAGUUGUAAUUUGUAGAAUUUGUCUUUGAUUAGGUCCUUGUCUGUGUUCCUUGGAACAGGACGUCAUAGAGGGUGAGAAUCCCGUUUGGCGAGGAUACCUUUUCUCUGUAAGACUUUUUCGAAGAGUCGAGUUGUUUGGGAAUGCAGCUCAAAGUGGGUGGUAAAUUCCAUCUAAAGCUAAAUAUUGGCGAGAGACCGAUAGCGAACAAGUACAGUGAUGGAAAGAUGAAAAGAACUUUGAAAAGAGAGUGAAAAAGUACGUGAAAUUGUUGAAAGGGAAGGGCAUUUGAUCAGACAUGGUGUUUUUGCAUGCACUCGCCUCUCGUGGGCUUGGGCCUCUCAAAAAUUUCACUGGGCCAACAUCAAUUCUGGCAGUAGGAUAAAUCAUUAAGAAUGUAGCUACCUCGGUAGUGUUAUAGCUUAUUGGAAUACUGCUAGCUU